rfam:Anaerosphaera aminiphila DSM 21120 genome assembly, contig: EJ13DRAFT_scaffold00019.19
CCAUGAUAGAUGGGGAAUUAGCGAUGCCUUGUAACCUGCAAUUCGCUACAGCAGGGUUGAAUUCCCAUCUUAGGGAUAAAGUUGUAUAGUCUGCCCCAAGUGUGUGGCGUUGAGGGUUGGGUCCUGCGCAACGCAUGCUUGUGAACCGUGUCAGGUCUUGACGGAAGCAGCACUAAGCGAGAUUUUGCGUGUGCCGUAGGGGUGCCUAAUCUGAGUUAACUACUUGGGUACCGUAUGGAACUUUAUUUCGAAGAUGGGUUCAUGG